CAAUGUUGGAUAACACCUCCCACCCACUCCAUGACAUGCUGGUCAGUCACAGGAGCUCGUUCAGUGAGAGACUGAGAUUACCGAAAAGCACCACUGAACGACACAGGAAAUCAUUCCUGCCUGUGGCCAUCUCCCUGUACAACGCAUCCACUUAACACACUGUUUGCUGCUACAACUACACAUGUUUCUUUUCCAACUAUUUAUUUAUGAGUGACUUAUGUAUGUAUGUAUGUAUGUAUGUAUGUAUGUAUGUAUGUAUGUAUAUAUAUGUAUAUAUUGUACUAUUCUUAGUUAGUGUAUUGUCUGUCUUGUCUUAAUGUUGGUUUAAAAUGGAGCACUGUAACAAAAAAUAAUUUCCCCCAGGGAUCAAUAAAGUAUUCUGAUUCUGAUUCUGAUUAUGUUGAACUACGUUUUUUCUAAUAUAGCUUGGCGGUAUUCUAACAUUAUUUAGCACUUUACUUAAUGGGGGCCCCUCCAGUUCUUGACAUAUUUCAGUCUAGAUUAAAGUAAAGAUAAACUGACCAGCCAUAGACCCACAAAGCUAGCGUGGCUGAAAUAAUGCUCGCAGGAUUUCAAGUAUAGAGCCCAACUUUCUCUGAGUAUUUCACAUACCACACUAAACAUUGCUGCAUCUAACUGCAUUUACCAAAACCCUCCCAAAGGUGUGACUUUGGUUUUGCAAUGCAGCUAGUAGAAAAAAAAAAAACAAAAAAAAACACAUUUUUAUUUUUAUAGAGGCCACAUCUCAUUCCUGUCAAUUCAGCCACAAAAAAAGAUGUACUUUGAAACCUGUGGCGUUGCGCUCCUCCCAGUUAACAAAGAAUAGCUGCAGAUAUCCAUUGUUUUUCUAAUUCUCUAUGUUUAUGUUUUAUGUCUCACACUAUGAUUUACACAUCUUUCCCCAGGCAGACAGCAAAAAUCUAGAGACCAAAAAAACAAACACGUUUUGGUUAUAAAAAAUGAUUAGUUUCUUUAAUCAAAAUAUAGAUGCUUUCCUCCAUUUGUGGUGGUAGGCUGAUGUCAGAUGUGCCUUCUAUCCUUUACUAUCCAUGACCCAACUUAGCAUUUUGGUCUAUGUUGCCUGAUCCUGGAAAGCUGCCACCAGACUCUUCAAGUCAUGUCAAGCCAAAGACGCCCAGCCCGGAAAGCGUCCACCAGCUUGGAUCUCUGCCAGGAGCCUGCAAGGGGCAUUAAGCAUGAGGUCACAGGCAGACAGCUGCCAAGUUGUUUAUUAUCAGCACCCUGCCCCUGCAUGCGAGAUGCGAAAGCAGGUGCUUACACUUCAGCAGCCUUGCUUCAAUUGCUUAAGACAUACUGUACCUUGAAAGAGACCCAUUUCUCCAAAACCAUUUUCCAUCAGUCUCCCCUGAAGCCUGCUAAGAGCUGUGGACAAGAAUCCACACACAGCAAAGUGCAGAGCCUCAGUCUCACCACAGUCAAUCAAGCAAAAAAAAAAAAAAAAAAAAAAAGAAAAGAUUUCCUCUUACAUCCAGACAGCCCCCUGCUGUGACACUAUACUACUCAUCCCUUUACCCAAAUUUCCAGGAUACCUGCUCAGACAGCUUGAAAAAUAUUAUCCUAACAGAAGUCUAAGUGGAUCCUGCAAGCACGGUUUUCACACAAUAUUAGUCUGGAAAAGACACACUGAAAAUCAAUUGGGUCUGGCAGCUAGAAGCAGAACUAAUGGGUAAACUCUGUAGUUAUGUCAAAUGAUGACAGCAAGAACUGGACUAAUCCAACGUUACUUUAGCAACAUAUCUGGCUUUUAGAACUACAAAAUUAAAGAAAAUGUCAGCCUAGCUUUUGCCAGUAUAUCUGAACUGAUAUUAUUAUGAUCAGCAGUAGAGAGAAUAAACACUGUUUCUACUCAAAAUAGAGCACUGUAGACACACAAGUAGAAGCAUUCUUAAAGGUAGACUAAGAUUCAACCACACUGUAAAGCAGAAGAUUGGGAGGUAGAGAGUGAGACGAAAAGUAGAUACAGAAUAAAUAAAAUUAAAUAGGAAGUAAAACUAUAACAGAAAAAAUAAGUGGUAAACAAUGAUAAAUGGGCAGGAUCAUUCAAAGGAAAAAGAGUGAAGGGAAAAAGGAAGACAAGAUAAACAUUUUAAAAUGAAGCAGAGAUGAGUGGGUAAAGACAGUAAAUGUUAGGUUAGCCCUUUACUGUGUAGGCUGAAGGCAAAUGAAAUGUAAUUGAAGCGCAUGUAAAUGAAUGACGAUAACGGUAAUUUCAGAAGUUCUGAACAACUUUAACUGCAACGUGACCUUCACUAUAAGAGUUUUCUGUGUGCAGGCCUGCAAAAGACGAUACCACGGGAAUUUUAAUGAACCUUUUAGAGUCCUAUCAAUGCUGAAAAUCUUUGUUUAUUCUCUUUCCUCAGAACUAUACGACAUCACCACAGAAAUUUAUAUAAUGUAUGCCAUAUCUGUGCCACUGCGUAUCAGCAAUGCACAACAACAACUGUGCUUAAUAGGUGUGAAAUAACAAAAUCACAAGGAUAAGGUGUUUAAGAAAAAAAAACAAAAAACAGCAAUGAUGGUGCAUAUUUUUGGUCUGUAGAUGCCUGCCUGUGAUUGUAAAUGUAAAAAAAGAAAACAAGGGUAUUUUAACUUUUUUCCUUUGUUCUUUUUUUACAAAUGCAAAGUU
ensembl:lncRNA